ACUCCUACGGGAGGCAGCAGUAGGGAAUUUUCCGCAAUGGACGAAAGUCUGACGGAGCAAUGCCGCGUGAGUGAUGAAGGUUUUCGAAUCGUAAAGCUCUGUUGUAAGGGAAGAAUAGCAAGAAUAGGAAAAUGAUUCUUGUCUUGACGGUACCUUACCAGAAAGCCACGGCUAACUACGUGCCAGCAGCCGCGGUAAUACGUAGGUGGCAAGCGUUAUCCGGAAUUAUUGGGCGUAAAGCGCAUGUAGGCGGCUUUUUAAGUCUGAUGUGAAAGCCAGUGGCUCACCACUGAAUUGCAUUGGUACUGGAAAGCUAGAAUCUUGGA
rnacentral:rRNA from 1 species